CGGGGUGCAGCAGGCGCGAAAACUCUACAAUGCAGGCAACUGCGAUAGGGGAACAUCGAGUGAUCCUCAUAUUGGGGGUCUGUCCCACCGUCUAAAAAACGGUGGUUAGCAAGGGCCGGGCAAGACCGGUGCCAGCCGCCGCGGUAAUACCGGCGGCUCGAGUGGUGGCCGAUAUUAUUGAGUCUAAAGGGUCCGUAGCCGGCUUUGCAAGUCUCUCGGGAAAUCCAGCGGCUUAACCGUUGGUCGUCCGGGGGGUACUACAUUGCUUGGGACUGGGAGAGGUAGGAGGUACUCAGGGGGUAGGAGUGAAAUCCUGUAAUCCUCUGGGGACCACCGGUGGCGAAGGCGUCCUACCAGAACAGGUCCGACGGUGAGGGACGAAAGCUAGGGGCACGAACCGGAUUAGAUACCCGGGUAGUCCUAGCCGUAAACGAUGCUCGCUAGGUGUCACAACAGUCGUGAACUGUUGUGGUGCCGUAGGGAAGCCGUGAAGCGAGCCACUUGGGAAGUACGACCGCAAGGUUAAACUUAAAGGAAUUGGCGGGGGAGCAC
rnacentral:rRNA from 1 species